GCCUUUAGUUGCCAGCAGUUCGGCUGGGCACUCUAAAGGGACUGCCGGUGUUAAACCGGAGGAAGUGGGGGAUGACGUCAAGUCCUCAUGGCCUUUAUGACCAGGGCUACACACGUACUACAAUGGCCGAUACAAAGGGCAGCGACACUGCGAGGUGAAGCCAAUCCCGUAAAAUCGGUCUCAGUCCGGAUUGGAGUCUGCAACUCGACUCCAUGAAGUUGGAAUCGCUAGUAAUCGUGGAUCAGCAUGCCACGGUGAAUACGUUCCCGGGCCUU
rnacentral:rRNA from 1 species